rnacentral:rRNA from 1 species
GAUGAACGCUGGCGGCGUGCCUAAUACAUGCAAGUCGAGCGAACAGAUGAGGAGCUUGCUCCUCUGACGUUAGCGGCGGACGGGUGAGUAACACGUGGAUAACCUACCUAUAAGACUGGGAUAACUUCGGGAAACCGGAGCUAAUACCGGAUAAUAUAUUGAACCGCAUGGUUCAAUAGUGAAAGACGGUUUUGCUGACACUUAUAGAUGGAUCCGCGCCGCAUUAGCUAGUUGGUAAGGUAACGGCUUACCAAGGCAACGAUGCGUAGCCGACCUGAGAGGGGGAUCGGCCACACUGGAACUGAGACACGGUCCAGACUCCUACGGGAGGCAGCAGUAGGGAAUCUUCCGCAAUGGGCGAAAGCCUGACGGAGCAACGCCGCGUGAGUGAUGAAGGUCUUCGGAUCGUAAAACUCUGUUAUUAGGGAAGAACAAAUGUGUAAGUAACUAUGCACGUCUUGACGGUACCUAAUCAGAAAGCCACGGCUAACUACGUG